GUAGAAGUUGAUGGAAUUGGCUGAUUUACAAGUUCUUGCAAAGGUUUUCUUCCAACACAUGGUAUCUUUGGUUGUGAUAAUCGAUUGAAACCUAAAAAAAUAAAUAAAGGAAUAACUGCAUUAACAAUUUUGCUCAGAUGCUUUAGUUUUGUAAUUAAUUAAAGCAACAGUGGCCACUCAUAUAUAAUUAUGUGGUCAACAUGUUUAUAAUGGGUUCGGAAAUCCAUGAAGAUGCAUGUAUGCCUGAAACUAAUUAUGCAAUUAUUGAUGUAUAUUUCUGUCAGUUUCCUUUAGUAAUAGUUAAUUCAAAUAAAAAUAUUGGAAUUAUAAAAAA